UACGUAGGGCGCAAGCGUUGUCCGGAAUUAUUGGGCGUAAAGAGCUCGUAGGCGGACUGUUGCGUCCGCUGUGAAAAGCUGGGGCUUAACCCUGGCCUUGCAGUGGAUACGGGCAGACUAGAGGUAGGUAGGGGAGAAUGGAAUUCCCGGUGUAGCGGUGAAAUGCGCAGAUAUCGGGAGGAACACCGGUGGCGAAGGCGGUUCUCUGGGCCUUACCUGACGCUGAGGAGCGAAAGCGUGGGGAGCGAACAGG
rnacentral:rRNA from 1 species